AGGGUUUGAUCAUGGCUCAGGACGAACGCUGGCGGCGUGCCUAACACAUGCAAGUCGAGCGGACGGAGGAGAGCUUGCUCUCCAAAGUUAGCGGCGGACGGGUGAGUAACGCGUGAGUAACCUGCCUUCAGGAGGGGGAUAACACACUGAAAAGUGUGCUAAUACCGCAUAAUGUCGAGGGAUCACAUGGUAUUUCGACCAAAGAUUUAUCGCCUGAAGAUGGACUCGCGUCCGAUUAGCUAGAUGGUGAGGUAACGGCCCACCAUGGCGACGAUCGGUAGCCGAACUGAGAGGUUGAUCGGCCACAUUGGGACUGAGACACGGCCCAG
rnacentral:rRNA from 1 species